rnacentral:rRNA from 1 species
UACGUAGGCAGCAAGCGUUGUUCGGAGUUACUGGGCGUAAAGGGUGCGUAGGCGGCUUCUUAAGUCUGGUGUGAAAUCUCCCGGCUCAACUGGGAGGGUGCGCCGGAUACUGAGGGGCUAGAGUGUGGGAGAGGAAAGUGGAAUUCCUGGUGUAGCGGUGAAAUGCGUAGAUAUCAGGAGGAACACCUGUGGCGAAAGCGGCUCACUGGACCACAACUGACGCUGAUGCGCGAAAGCUAGGGGGAGCAAACAGG